CGAAGGUGAUGGAUUGUUUUGUAGUAUGAAGGUGAUGGAUUGUUUUGUAGUAUGAAGGUGAUGGAUUGUUUUGUAGUAUGAAGGUGAUGGAUUGUUUUGUAGUAUGAAGGUGAUGGAUUGUUUUGUAGUAUGAAGGUGAUGGAUUGUUUUGUAGUAUGAAGGUGAUGGAUUGUUUUGUAGGAUGGAGGUGAUGGAUUGUUUUGUAGUAUGAAGGUGAUGGAUUGUUUUGUAGUAUGAAGGUGAUGGAUUGUUUUGUAGUAUGAAGGUGAUGGAUUGUUUUGUAGUAUGAAGGUGAUGGAUUGUUUUGUAGGAUGAAGGUGAUGGAUUGUUUUGUAGGAUGAAGGUGAUGGAUUGUUUUGUAGGAUGAAGGUGAUGGAUUGUUUUGUAGUAUGAAGGUGAUGGAUUGUUUUGUAGUAUGAAGGUGAUGGAUUGUUUUGUAGUAUGAAGGUGAUGGAUUGUUUUGUAGGAUGAAGGUGAUGGAUUGUUUUGUAGGAUGAAGGUGAUGGAUUGUUUUGUAGGAUGAAGGUGAUGGAUUGUUUUGUAGGAUGAAGGUGAUGGAUUGUUUUGUAGUAUG